GAGAGCUUAGCUUAAUUAAAGUGCUCAAUUUGAAUUUGAGUGAUGCAAGGUAAAGUCUUCUAGUUUUUA
rnacentral:tRNA from 1 species